GCUUUUCAAGUCCACCGUCAAAUCCCAGGGCUCAACCCUGGACAGGCGGUGGAAACUACCAAACUGGAGUACGGUAGGGGCAGAGGGAAUUUCUGGUGGAGCGGUGAAAUGCAUUGAGACCGGAAAGAACACCAACAACGAAAGAAACUCUUGUAUUGUAAGU
rnacentral:ncRNA from 1 species